GGUUCAGGAUGAACGCUAGCGACAGGCUUAACACAUGCAAGUCGAGGGGCAGCACGGGAGUAGCAAUACAACUGGUGGCGACCGGCGCACGGGUGAGUAACGCGUAUGCAACCUACCUAUCAGAGGGGAAUAACCCGGCGAAAGUCGGACUAAUACCGCAUAAAACAGGGGCACCGCAUGGUGAUAUUUGUUAAAGAAAUUCGCUGAUAGAUGGGCAUGCGUUCCAUUAGGUAGUUGGUGAGGUAACGGCUCACCAAGCCGACGAUGGAUAGGGGAACUGAGAGGUUGGUCCCCCACACUGGUACUGAGACACGGACCAGACUCCUACGGGAGGCAGCAGUGAGGAAUAUUGGUCAAUGGGCGAGAGCCUGAACCAGCCAAGUCCGCGUGAAGGAAGAAGGAUCUAUGGUUCGUAAACUUCUUUUGCAGGGGAAUAAAGUGCAGGACGUGUCCUGUUUUGUAUGUACCCUGAGAAUAAGGAUCGGCUAACUCCGUGCCAGCCGCCGC
rnacentral:rRNA from 1 species